CGAAAGGUAUGACAUCAUUGGACUGUAUUUGACUUUUGAUAAGAGAUUCUGGUACAAGCCAUGCCCUGAAACCAAGUUCUCGACACUCCUAUAUUCGUCAUACACUCAUGUAUUACACAUAUAGUCUCUAAUCUUUCCCUCCAAUUGGUUCUGUCUAUUAAAAAUAGUAAAUUAACUGACUUCAGCUCCCCAGGACCAGGGAUGGAGAGUUGGAGACCAUUUAUUUUAUACCUCAGUACAUUGCCCUCUACAUGUUAGUUCAUAGUAAAAGCUGCCAGUUCUGUUUCGUCCUGUUCACUACAGAAAUAAUAUAUUUUUUAAUGGCCAGGUAUGAAUGGGCAGGGCAGGUUUGCUCUCAGUUUGUUCUCUCUGAUAAGGUGUGUUUGUUUACCUUCUCACUCUACUACUUGACUCUGUAACAGUCCCAUAUUUCCUGGUGUCCAUUCACCUCACUCCAUCGCUGCAAGACAAUGAAGGAUACACACACCCUGCUCAAUCUGCUUCUGCUGCUAGUGUACCUAGCAGGAUCAGCUCUGACCACUGAUGGAGGGAGUGGCAGUACCAAUGGUCCCUUGGAACUAACCAUUGUGGGACCUGACUUUGUUAAAGUGGGUGUGCCACGCAGCUUUGACUGUGCUGCCCAGUGCUCUCCCUCCUGUAGCUACAGAAUGAGUAUCGACGGGCAGAUUUGGCAUGGCAACGAGCUGUUGUUCACAGCUCGCCAAUGGGAGGAGUCCCUAAACCUCACAUGCACUGCAAGGAAUGAUGACUCUGGGAGGUCCUCUACAGUAACAAAGAUACUGCAGGUUUUAGCUGGACCAAGCAACGUAUCAAUCACAGGCCCUGACUUGAUGACCCCAGGUGCCCCACAAAGCUUCAAGUGUAACGCCAACUGUCGUCCCUCCUGCAACUACACCUGGGGGAUAAAGGGCCGAUGGCUCGGGGGACAGGGGAAUGAGAUUACCGUAACUCCCGAAGAGUUAGCCACCUCUGUUACCCUGAACUGCAAGGCCAUCAACAGUGUGUCUGGGCUCUAUGCCAUGGAAACCAGGACAAUACCUGUGACAUUUGGUCCAUCAGAGGUCCACGUCAUUGGUCAAGACUCUGUUGCAGUCGGCUUCAAGUCCAAGUUUCGGUGCACUGCCAAAUGCAUUCCUGCUUGUGACUACUGGUGGACCGUUGAUGGUCACACUGUUUAUGGCAGUGAGAUGGAGAUGACGGUCGAGCGACAUGUAAAGUCAGAGAAGAUUAAGUGCUACGCUCAGAAUACGGUCUCAAUGAAUUUUGACUUGGUAACCAAGACCGUACGGGUCGGAGAUGAUGGAAAAUCCAUGGCCACACAGGCUAAACAGACUAUAGACCUGCUUCUGUUUGCCUUUACACUCUCACUCUACACUGUAAUAUCACCAUAA
rnacentral:lncRNA from 8 species